CCUACGGGUGGCAGCAGUCGGGAAUAUUGCGCAAUGGAGGAAACUCUGACGCAGUGACGCCGCGUGCAGGAAGAAGGUUUUCGGAUUGUAAACUGCUUUAGACAGGGAAGAAAAAAGACAGUACCUGUAGAAUAAGCUCCGUCUAACUACGUGCCAGCAGCCGCGGUAAUACGUAGGGAGCAAGCGUUAUCCGGAUUUAUUGGGUGUAAAGGGUGCGUAGACGGAGAAGCAAGUUAGUUGUGAAAGUCCAUCGCUUAACGGUGGAUCCGCGCCGGGUACGGGCGGGCUUGAGUGCGGUAGGGGAGACUGGAAUUCCCGGUGUAACGGUGGAAUGUGUAGAUAUCGGGAAGAACACCAAUGGCGAAGGCAGCCUUCCGGCGCCCUACUGACGCUGAGGCACGAAAGUGCGGGGAUCGAACAGGAUUAGAUACCCUUGUAGUC
rnacentral:rRNA from 1 species